ensembl:lncRNA
GGUGGGGAAGGAGGUUAGGCCAAACCAGGAGUGCCGUCUGGAGGUCUGGCUUAUGGUCUGCUACAUGGCCUGCUCCUCAGGAACUACCAGGUUGUUCGUUGUGUCCUCGAUCCUGACAGGGAAGGAGGUUAGGUCAAACCAGCAGCGCCAGGUGGAGGUCUGGCUGUUGGACUCCUCCAUAGGCUGCUCCUCAGAAAUGUCCUCAUUGUUGUUCUUCUCCUCGAUCCUGACAGGGCAGGAGGUUAGGCCUAACCAGCAGCGCCAGGUGGAGGUCUGGCUGUUGGUCUCCUCCAUAGACUGACCAAAGGAAGGGACUCGUUGUUGUUGUUCUCCUCAGUCCUGACAGGGCAGGACGUUAGGCCUAGCCAGCAGCGCCAGGUGGAGGUCUGGCUGUUGGUCUCCUCCACAGGCUGCACCUCAGGAAGGCCUGGUUGUCCUUCCUGUCCUCGAUCCUGACGGGGCAGGAGUUUAGGCCAAACUAGCAGAGGCUGGUGGAGGUCUGGCUGUUGGUCUCCUCCACAGGCUGCUCCUCAGAAAGGACCUGGUUGUCCUUCCUGUCCUCUAUUCUGGUGGGACAGGAGGUUAGGCCAAACCAGGAGUGCCGGCUGGAGGUCUGGCUUUUGGUUUCCUCCAUGGCCUGCUCCUCAGGAAGGACCUGGUUUGUCUUCGUGUCCUCGAUCCUGACAGGGCAGGACGUUAGGCCCAUGCAGCAGCGCCAGGUGGAGGUCUGGCUGUUGGUCUCCUCCACAGGCUGCUCCUCAGGAAGGACUGGAUUGUUCUUCCUGUCCUCGAUCCUGACGGGGCAGGAGGUUAGGCCAAACUAGCAGAGGCUGGUGGAGGUCUGGCUGUUGGUCUCCUCCACAGGCUGCUCCUCAGGAAGGGCCUGGUUGUCCUUCCUGUCCUCGAUUCUGGUGGGGCAGGAGGUUAGGCCAAACCAGGAGUGCCGGAUGGAGGUCUGGCUUUUGGUCUCCUCCAUGGCCUGCUCCUCAGGAAGGACCUGGUUUGUCUUCGUGUCCUCAAUCCUGACAGGGCAAGACAUUAG